GAUCUGGCUUGGAUAGUUAGUUAUUCCUUUUUAUUACCUUUGUGCAAAAGAUAAGAAGAUAGGGGGGAAAAUUCAGAAGAUAUAAAAAGGUUCUUGAUGAAAAAACAUUGAUUUUGAAAUCUGAGAAAUUUUUGAUUUCAACAUAAAUCUCUAAUCAAAAACAAAUAUUGGAAGGUAUAUCCAAUAGAUUCAAUACCAGAGAACAUGAGGCCCCUUUAUAAAUAUGUGCCUUCAUUUUUUAAUAUAUAUUUUCCCUUAUGAUCAGAUGUAUAUAUUAGAUGUACAACACUAUUUUAUUAGAAAUUCAGAUAUUAUUAGAGAUCUGAAAUGCUUUACGGAGAUUUGAAAGUUUGAUUUAUAUUUUAUUUUGCAGCAAGUGUUGUUCUGGAUGCCGUAUGCUUGUAGCCAGGAUAGCACAGUAUUGGAUGGAGUGAACCUAGAGGAUUGGAGGAAGAAAGGAAAAUUCCCUCUUUAGAAAUCCAGAGAGAACUAGCCAAGCAUUCUCAAACCAAGUGCUCAACAGAGGAAAAGAGACAGUGUUUUUCCUCUCCUACAAAUAUGAAGAAGUCUAGCUUUCUAGCUAGGCUGAAAGAUCCAGGUGGAAUCAUAAUGGAAAAACUGGACCCAUCAUUCACCAUCUAAGUUGUCUAGAGGAAUGUCCCUCAAGUCAGACCCACUGGAGUAGGCGGAAUCUAAAGCUUCCUCCCAAUGGUGAGUGAUAUCACGCAGCUGAGGGCUAUCAGGGAGCAGGGUGACAGGGUUGAGAGUGUGGAACACCCGGAGAGUCAAAUUGGGGUGUCUAAUAGGACGUCUGAUACCUGGCAAACCUCCCAUUAGCAAGCCACUGACAACCUUUGACUUUGAACCCUGUGGGGAGUUAGAACCUCCAGUGGUUGGCCUGGGGUUCCUCAAUUAGAAGCAACCACUGCUCUAAAGCAGGAGGGUCACCCCAAGAACAAGAAGUUUCUUUGCGAAGUGAGCAAGGGGUCUGGGAUUGGGUCCCAAGGGUGGAGUCAAGACCCCCAGGGCCUAGUUCUGCCUUUCAUCAACAUUCAAAGUGAAAGACUUUUCUAAAUGAGGGAAGGCUAAAGCCCCCAUGACAGAGGUCAUUUUAGCUUUCAGGGUUGUAAAAGCCUUCGCCUAAUCAGGGCCCCGCUCCAGGGGAAGUGUGUCAGAGCCUUGAAUAGCUAUAAAAUCUAGCCCUGCCCCGGAAAGGACAGUUAUUUCUUUGAGAGAGGUUCAGGGAGUGACAAGGUCUAAACCAUACUGAAUAUGUUUUAGAUUUUGUUUCAGUAAU